rnacentral:rRNA from 1 species
UACGUAGGGGGCAAGCGUUGUCCGGAUUUAUUGGGCGUAAAGAGCGUGUAGGCGGCUUUACAGGUCCGUUGUGAAAACUCGAGGCUCAACCUCGAGACGCCGGUGGAAACCGUAAAGCUAGAGUCCGGAAGAGGUGAGUGGAACUCCGAGUGUAGAGGUGAAAUUCGUAGAUAUUCGGAAGAACACCAGUGGCGAAGGCGGCUCACUGGUCCGGUACUGACGCUGAGGUGCGAAAGCGUGGGGAGCAAACAGG